UAAUUUCCUAUUUUAUUUUUAUCUAUAUCUCCCUUCUUUAGAAAUGGGACUUGGUAUGUACAAACGUGGCAAUAACAUGUUGUACAAUUAGCUAUGUGAAGUGUCUACAAACUUGGCUUUAUUUUAUUGGACGUUAUUUUUUUGUUAUUUUCCUCUUGACACGCAUAUUUACACUCAAAACAACUCACCAGCUAACAUGGCAAACCAGAAACGGAGGAAGCCGCCGUUGCAUAUAAGAUGACCGAGAUACGAAAUAGGGAACUCGCUCGCUUCGGAAUCCUUCCCUUCUUUAAAAAUGGGACUUGAUAUGUACGAACAUGGCAAUAACAUGUUGUACAAUUAGCUAUGUGAAUUGUCUAUAAACUUGGCUUUAUUUUAUUGGACGUCAUUUUUUUGAUAUUUUCCUCUUGACACGCGUAUUUGCACUCAAAACAACUCACCAGCUAACAUGGAUCUUUGAAGUUCACUUACUUUUUCACUGACUCUUCCAAAUUAAAGUUUGUUAAUUGUAUUUGCUGGUAAACCGUGCAAGCUGACUUUCCUUCUUGGAUUAUAAGGUUUGAAUAACCCACGUUGUGAGAGAAGUUGAAAAACAUGUAUCAAGUAAAUUCACCCUUUAUUUAUAACAUUUCAGUUCUGUAUUCACACUUUCGACAUACAUUUAUCAUUUAGACUCGGGGUUGCUAGAGUUUUCCUACUACCUUUCACUCCAUAUGACAGCCUAUUUUCAACUGGCUGGAUGAAUCAGCCCAAGCCCAACAAGGAUAUCUACAAUAGAUAUUGGGCCAGUAGGCCCAAUAAGAGCAAUAAGGUCAACCCUUCCUAAAGGAUAAUUUUGGAUCGGUGCCAUUUUUCAUCGUUACAUAUAAAAAGACAUCACGAUUAAAGGUUAUCAUGAAUUAUAUGCAAAGGCAUUUAUGUGUUUUUCAUCCCCAUUGAGUAUAAGUUUCUCAUUUCCCUUCUACAGUCUAUCAAUCACUAGUUCUUUCUUACGUCUACAAUUUUGUUUGGGCUUUUGUUAUUUGAGUUGUUGUUUUAGUUUCUGGAUUUGUAAUUAAACUCUAAUCUUAUUAUUAUAGUUGAACGGUUGGUUACCGUUACAUUAGAUUUGAGUUCA